rnacentral:misc_RNA from 1 species
GAUGAAGAACGUAGCGAAAUGCGAUACUUGGUGUGAAUUGCAGAAUCCCGUGAACCAUCGAGUCUUUGAACGCAAGUUGCGCCUGAAGCCUCGGCUAAGGGCACGUCUGCCUGGGCGUCACGCAUCGCGUCUCCCCCAAACCGCCAAGGCGGAGGGGAAGGAAGAUGGCUUCCCGUGCCUCACCCGGCGCGGUUGGCCUAAAUUUGGAGCCCGCGGCACUUAGCUCACGCGGCGAUAGGUGGUGAACAAGGCCUUGGCCGUGCAAACAACCCGCUGCGAAGCUCUAUGUCACGUGCGCUCGUCGGACCCUUUGAAGUUGCCUUCGGUGACUUAAAACCUUUGCGAACCCAGGUCAGGCGGGGCUACCCGCUGAAUUUAAGCAUAUCAAUAAGCGGAGGA